rnacentral:lncRNA from 1 species
AAUGCCCUGGGCAGUACUGACUAGCUACCUAGCAAAGGAUUGUGAAGCCAAAUAAAGGUAUGACAAAUCAUUAUUAAGGUAACCUGGACCUUCAGGUUUCAAAAAGUUUAUUUGUGAAUGUGUUUGGGAAGUAUUCAUUCAGGUAUUUCAAAUCACAACAAAGAUCAGAUCAUUUUCUCCUGAGCAGUAAAGAUAGGUGUGGCACAAUGGGUCAUCAUUUGAGGAGCCUGAAUCCUGUGUCAAGGGUUCCAUAUUGUCCUUUCUAAACUUUACACUGUCCUGGCAGGUAGAAUUAUUAGGAUUACUGUUAUACUUCAAGGUAAUUUCACCCACAUUAGUUAUAGAUGAAGAAGCCAGGAGCCAGAAGUUAAUAAUUGGCUGGCAAUAAGGGGCAGCACUGGGAUUUAAAUUCAGUUCCCAUUUUACUCCAAAUCCCCUGCCCUUCAUAUUUGACCUCCUGUUAUCCUGGUUGUGCCACGGGGAUUAUUAUAGAAUAUCUUCUUUAGGGUGAAGGACUAAAUAGGAACAUUAUUUAGUUGAUGGCAUUGUCUACCUCACAGCAGGCCUUGUAACUCUAAAGAGGAUCCCAGAUAUUCCCUGCGGUAGGCUGAAUAUUUAGGAGGGAGCUUGGCCACAACUGUGGAGAAAUGUGAAAGUCCCUGAGGGAUACCAGUUGGGGGACCCAAGAUGGCAUGGUGUCUCCUUAUCCUAAAUAUAGAGAUCUUACCUGGAAGCAAUUCUCUGGCUAGAAAAGGAAAGAUGGGUGUGGUAAGGAUGCAGGUGACACCAGCCCUCCAGGCCCGUGGAAGGAAGCCAGUUUCAGCCACUGAACAGCUCAGAACAGCAUGAGCAACACGAGCAGGGAUAGGGGACCAUGAGAGUUAAAAGAAAUAACACUUUAGCAGGGGUUAAGGUGUGGAUUUAGCAAAUAAUAGGAUGCUCAAUUAAAUUUGAAAUAUAGAUAAACAAUGAAUCACUUCUUAGUGUAGGUAUGUCUGGGUACCAUUUUAUCUGACAAUUCAGGCAGGGGAGGAUGUUGUGGGCUGAGAUUGAGGGCUAACAAAAGGAAGAGUUCCUUCUGUGAGGUUUGGGGAAAGUAUCUAGGAUGUGUCUUGCCCUGGAUGGGUGUCAGUAUAGGAAAACUUCCAAAGAAAGCUUAUCAUCUCAAUAGAGAACCACUCGGACCCUAUGCUCUCACAUUUCAGCCUUGGAGGGACAAACCUUCUGAGUUUAUA